GCCUGGGUGGCUCAGUUGGUUGAGCGUCCGACAUCAGCUCGGAUCAUGAUUUCGAGGUCCGUGGGUUCGAGCCCCGCGUCGGGCU
rnacentral:tRNA from 1 species